GGGGGUAUAGCUCAGCUGGGAGAGCCCCUGCCUUGCACGCAGGGGGGUUGAAGACCAAAAUGGUCUUCAACGGGUGCCAUGCCGAUGUAAAUCGGCGCUUUAUGGCACCCAGGUAGAGUUCGAAUCUCUUUAUCUCCACCA
rnacentral:tRNA from 1 species